rnacentral:rRNA from 1 species
AGAAAACUACAACCCUUAUCCGCCCGGGUACUACGAGCAUAAGCUUAAAACCCAAAGGACUUGGCGGUGCUUUAGACCCCCCUAGAGGAGCCUGUUCUAGAACCGAUAACCCCCGUUCAACUUCACCUUUUCUUGCCCAUCCCGCCUAUAUACCGCCGUCGUCAGCAUACCCUGUGAAGGAAUCACAGUAGGCAAAACUGGUAAAACCCAAAACGUCAGGUCGAGGUGUAGCACACGAAAAGGAAAGAAAUGGGCUACAUUUCCUCUCCCAGGAAACACGAAUUGUGCCAUGAAACCACACAUGAAGGAGGAUUUAGCAGUAAGCAGAAAGCAGAGCGUUC